AUUAAAUUGGCAGAUUUAUGCAUUAAAUUUAGAAUUUAAUUAAGUAAUUUUAAAUUACAUUUAAUA
rnacentral:tRNA from 1 species